UCUCCUUAGUCCUUUGGAUCAUUCUUACGGAAUAUACCCUUCUUCUCUCCUUAACAAUUUUCUCACUUUCGGUUCUGUGGUUUUCAAGAUAUGAUUUAUCUUUUCCUUUCUUCUUCUUCAACAUGAUUGAUCGAUCUGAAUGAUCCAAUCAAGUCCGGUGAACUGGGGUUUUCACGAUCAUUCGCGAUCUUCUAAAAAUCGAUUUGACUUUUCUCCAAAAAAAAAAAAAAAAAAAAUGAACGCAGUGGGUAGGAUCGGGAGCUACAUCUACCGAGGCGUAGGCACGGUGUCUGGUCCGUUUCACCCAUUCGGUGGCGCCAUCGACAUUAUCGUGGUGGAGCAACCGGACGGCACAUUCAAAUCGUCACCUUGGUACGUCAGAUUCGGCAAGUUUCAAGGGGUUUUGAAGAACAGGCGGAACCUGAUCAAGAUCGAGGUCAAUGGUGUUGAUUCAGGGUUCACUAUGUAUCUGGCUCACACAGGGCAAGCUUACUUCCUGAGAGAAGUUGAAGAUGUGAUCGGAGAAGCCGAGAGUGGCAAAGUGUACACUUUGUCUUCCGGCGAUGAAGCCGAGACUAGUAGGAGAAAGAGUAGUAGUGAUGGUGUUGAUAAGAAGAUUAAGAUACCGUUGAAGUCUAAGAGCUGUAACUAUGAUUCCGCUAGUCCUCGUGUUGUUGGUGGUAAUGGGAAGAUUGUUGGGAAGCCUGGGAUUCUAGGGUUUGUGUUUGGUGGUAGAUCGGUUAAGGUAGAUGAUGAUGAUGAUGGUGUCACCUCCAUGGAGCGAGCUGAGAUUGCUGCUGAUCUGUUGGAUGUUAAGUGGUCCACAAAUAUCGAUACGCGCAAGUGCGUUAAAGGCAAAGCUUCAAAGUCUAGCUUAGUAGAUAGCGAUUCGAUAUUGGAAACUCCGCUUGUUGCCUCUCCUACAUUGCAGUAUCUCGAUGAGAAAGAGCAGGAUUUUCGUGAAAGCAACAAUGCGGAAGAAGAUUAUUCACUUCUUCUUGUUGAUAAUGGUUCGUGUUCGUGUUCGACUACUGUGUUCUCUGUUACUAGUCAAGGGAGUGGGAAAGUAGAUAUCUGUGUCGAACCAACCGGGCCGCCACUUGCGCAGGAUUCUGUUACAGGGUGCGAUUUGAAUUCGAAGCAAGAAAUGUUAGGUGUUCCUGAAUCUGUGGAGGGUUUAGCAUACCAAGCGCAUACACGCACUUCUCAAGAAGGGAGCAGCGCUGGCUCUCUAGUUCAAGAUGAAAACAAAAUGUCCUUGGACGAUGAUUUUGAAAUGACGACUCAGUCAACAAAUGGAGCAAGAGUUCAGCAGCCGGAGGUUGAAGAGGAACAGUUUUCCUUCAGCGAUCUUGGCCAUUGCAAAUCUUCUGAGACUAGUUCUGAAGAGUCAAGUUUUCUUCAUACAGUAAAAGUUGAGGGGAAAGAGAUUUGUGAUGAUAAUGAAAUUAUUCCUGAAAACGGCGUGGAGGACGCAAAGGUCUUGUCAGAGCCCAUUGACAUAGAGAGAAAAAUGGAUAUCUCUGGAGAAGAGAUGGAGCGGUUGGCAGAAUCAUUACCGAUUAUGCGGCUUCACAACAACAAUGAUAUCGAUGCCGGUCCUUGUCAGCCCAUGAGCCAGUCAUUUGAUCCAAGUUCCAAUACUUUGAAGCCGAGCUCGAGGGGUUUAGAUGCUGAGUGUAGCCCAAGCUUAAAGGCAUUCAAACAUGUUCUCACUAAUCCUGAUGUGGUCGAGCUCUCUCUCUGCAAGCAUUUAUUACGCGAAGGAAUGGGAGCAGAAGCGGCUUCUCAGGCCUUCAAUUCAGAAAAAUUAGAUAUGGAAAAAUUUGCUUCUUUGGGACCAUCAGUCUUGGAGAAUGAUAUGCUUAUAGUGAAGAUUGGUGGAUGCUAUUUUCCAUGGGAUGCAGCAGCUCCUAUUAUCUUAGGAGCGGUUUCAUUCGGGACUGCCCAAGUAUUUGAGCCAAAAGGCAUGAUAGCUGUUGACCGAAAUGAGAAACCUGAUGCUGUAUUAGCUCCGAGCGGUGGAAGCUGGAACCUUUGGCCUUUCUCUCAACGGCGAUCAAGGAAUGAUAGCUGCGAAGCUUCUGCUGAAUUUGAGGAGAAACAAGAGAAGUCGCCGCCAAGACCAGUGAAGAAGACAGUCAGGGCACUAACUCCAACUUCUGAGCAAUUGGCUUCGCUGAAUCUGAAAGAAGGAAUGAAUACAGUGACUUUCACGUUCUCCACCAAUAUUGUGGGUACACAACAGGUAGACGCGAGGAUCUACUUAUGGAAAUGGGAUGCUCGGAUAGUUGUUUCAGAUGUAGAUGGUACCAUCACAAGAUCGGAUGUCUUAGGCCAGUUCAUGCCUUUGGUUGGAAUAGAUUGGUCACAAACCGGUGUUACACAUUUAUUUUCGGCUGUUAAGGAAAACGGAUAUCAGCUGAUGUUUUUAAGUGCACGCGCGAUUUCUCAGGCCUCAGUCACAAGACAGUUUCUAGUUAAUCUCAAGCAGGACGGGAAAGCAUUGCCGGAUGGGCCUGUUGUUAUUUCUCCCGAUGGCCUCUUUCCUUCGCUGUUUCGGGAAGGUAGUAAAGCUGUUUCAAAAUUUGAUUUGUUGAUCUUGAAUGAUUUGCUUCUUUCUCGACAGUUAUUAGAAGAGCACCUCAUGAAUUCAAGAUUUCUUGCUUGGAGGAAAUACGAGCUUUGUUUCCUCCCGAACACAACCCGUUCUAUGCUGGUUUUGGAAACAGAGACACGGAUGAGAUAAGCUACCUUAAAGUCGGGAUCCCCCGGGGAAAGAUCUUCACUAUUAACCCAAAGGGAGAAGUAGCUGUGAAUCGUAGGGUGGAUACAAGGUCAUACACAAAUCUUCAUGCUCUUGUCAAUGGAAUGUUCCCAGCUACAACAACCUCUUCUGAACCGGAGGACUUUAACACAUGGAAUUUCUGGAAACUGCCUCCUCCACCGUUUAUGUGAUUAUGAUGAUGAUAAUGAUGAUUUUGGUUUAAGAAAACGUAGAUUAGAGGAUAGAAUAACAAGGGGGUGGCCUCCAUCUUGUUUUUUUUUUCUUUUUUAAAGGACAGUAGUAUUGGUUCUUUGUUUUUUUUUUGUCAAACUGGUUUCAAAUAUCACAGGUGUACGAUGUAUGCGCGGUUAUACAUGUAUAUAAAUAUAUUUAAGUAAAUCUUAAAAGACAAUCAAUAUCUUUGGGGUGAG